rnacentral:rRNA from 1 species
CAAGUCGAGGGGCAGCGCGGGUAGCAAUACCUGGCGGCGACCGGCAAACGGGUGCGGAACACGUACGCAACCUUCCUUUAAGCGGGGGAUAGCCCAGGGAAACUUGGAUUAAUACCCCAUAGGACGUCAGGGUGGCAUCACCUGGACGUUAAAGCUCCGGCACUUAAAGAUGGGCGUGCGGCUGAUUAGGUAGUUGGCGGGGUAAUGGCCCACCAAGCCGACGAUCAGUAACUGGUGUGAGAGCACGACCAGUCACACGGGCACUGAGACACGGGCCCGACUCCUACGGGAGGCAGCAGUAAGGAAUAUUGGUCAAUGGACGCAAGUCUGAACCAGCCAUGCCGCGUGGAGGAUGAAGGUCCUCUGGAUUGUAAACUUCUUUUAUUGGGGAAGAAACCUGGAUUAUCUAGUUCAGUUGACGGUACCCGAUGAAUAAGCACCGGCUAACUCCGUGCCAGCAGCCGCGGUAAUACGGAGGGUGCAAGCGUUAUCCAGAUUCACUGGGUUUAAAGGGUGCGUAGGUGGGCAGGUAAGUCAGUGGUGAAAUCUCCGGGCUUAACCCGGAAACUGCCGUUGAUACUAUCUGUCUUGAAUAUAGUGGAGGUGAGCGGAAUAUGUCAUGUAGCGGUGAAAUGCUUAGAUAUGACAUAGAACAUCGAUUGCGAAGGCAGCUCGCUACGCUAUUAUUGACACUGAGGCACGAAAGCGUGGGGAUCAAACAGGAUUAGAUACCCUGGUAGUCCACGCCCUAAACGAUGGAUACUCGACAUCAGCGAUAAACAGUUGGUGUCUGAGCGAAAGCAUUAAGUAUCCCACCUGGGAAGUACGACCGCAAGGUUGAAACUCAAAGGAAUUGACGGGGGUCCGCACAAGCGGUGGA